AGUCCAGUGGUUAAGAUGCUGCACUCCCAAUGCAGGGGCCCCAGGUCCAAUCCCUGG
rnacentral:tRNA from 1 species